CCUACGGGAGGCAGCAGUGGGGAAUUUUACGCAAUGGGGGCAACCCUGACGCAGCAACGCCGCGUGAGUGAUGAAGGCCUUCGGGUCGUAAAGCUCUGUCAGAGGGGAAGAAAUGCAGGUGGUGAACAACCAUUCUGUUUGACGGUACCCUCAAAGGAAGCACCGGCUAACUCCGUGCCAGCAGCCGCGGUAAUACGGAGGGUGCGAGCGUUGUUCGGAAUUAUUGGGCGUAAACCGCGUGUAGGCGGUUUUUUAAGUCGGUGGUAAAAGCCCCGGGCUCAACCUGGGAAGUGCAUUGGAUACUGGCAGACUUGAGUACGGGAGAGGAGAGUGAAAUUCCCAGUGUAGGAGUAAAAUCCGUAGAUAUUGGGAGGAACACCGGUGGCGAGGGCGGCUCUCUGGACCGAUACUGACGCUGAGACGCGAAAGCGUGGGGAGCAAACGGGAUUAGAUCCCCUAGUAGU
rnacentral:rRNA from 1 species